CAUCAUCGGCAAUCGGGCCGUUGGUCCCCAGUGGAACGUUAGGCUCAAGUCGGGACGUCGGGACUCGUACUUCUUGGCGAGCGCCGACCCACAGUCGAAGAGUCGAGAUUCCAGACUCCAAAAUUUUGAAACUAAAUUUGUAUUCCGAGUGAGGGGAUACAAAGUUUAUUGGUAGUACAACUUUAGGUUGUCGGUAUUUCAGGUC
rnacentral:lncRNA from 1 species